GCCAGGCAUGGUGGCGCACGCCUAUAAUCUCAGCUUCUUGGGAGGCUGAGGCAGGAGAAUCGCUUGAGCCCGGGAGGUGGAGGCUGCAGUGAGCCGAGAUCGCGCCACUGCACUGCACCCUAGCCUGGGCGACAGAGCGAGACUCUGUCUCAA
ensembl:misc_RNA Metazoa_SRP Metazoan signal recognition particle RNA